rnacentral:lncRNA from 1 species
UAACGUACAAAAAAGCAUUCCCUCUGGCUAAUGUUUUUUAACGAUUGGGGGAGUUAUGUGGUUUGUGGUGGAGCGCGAUCUAAGGAGGAAAUGUUACACCGGACGCUUCCCUGUCUUUGACCUUUUUAAAGGAAGAGGAAGUUAACUGACAUUACCCAUCACCCCCAAAAGUCUCACUGCUUAGAAGGCUUGUGUUAAGACGAAUAUUUCUAAAGGGCUUUAAUUUGCUCUUCGUAGGCCUGAUGCUUUACAGGGUAGCGGGGCUCCUGGAGGAAACGCUAGUAUUGUGUCUUACCUUAUUUGCUUGAGUGUGGAAUUUUGGAUAGCUUUGAUUGAAAAGUCUUGGUGAUGAGGUGUUUUAGUCAAAAACUAUCUGAGGAAGGUAGAACAUUUUAUUAAUGAAUUCCAUGUAUAGAAAGGUGUUACCUACCGAGGGUAGCAUUUCAUGCACCUCCUCCUUCUCUCAUCCCUUGUAUUUCUGUUAAUCAAUAAUAAUUGGAUGUGUUUUGGGGUUUGAAUCAUGAUGAAUUUGAUUUUUAGAGAUAGUAGGAUGUUUGAGUAAAUAACUCCUC